UACGGAGGGUGCAAGCGUUAUCCGGAUUCACUGGGUUUAAAGGGUGUGUAGGCGGAUCAUUAAGUCCGUGGUGAAAUCUCCGAGCUCAACUCGGAAACUGCCAUGGAUACUAUUGAUCUUGAAUCUUGUUGAGGUGGGCGGAAUACAUCAUGUAGCGGUGAAAUGCUUAGAUAUGAGUGUAGAACACCGAUUGCGAAGGCAGCUCACUAAGCAAGUAUUGACGCUGAGGCACGAAAGCGUGGGUAUCAAACAGGA
rnacentral:rRNA from 1 species